rnacentral:rRNA from 1 species
UACAGAGGUGGCAAGCGUUGUUCGGAAUUACUGGGCGUAAAGGGCGCGUAGGCGGCCUACUAAGUCAGACGUGAAAUCCCCCGGCUUAACCGGGGAACUGCAUCUGAUACUGGAUGGCUUGAGAUUGGGAGAGGGAUGCGGAAUUCCAGGUGUAGCGGUGAAAUGCGUAGAUAUCUGGAGGAACACCGGUGGCGAAGGCGGCAUCCUGGACCAACACUGACGCUGAGGAGCGAAAGCCAGGGAGCAAACGGG